rnacentral:rRNA from 1 species
UACGUAGGUGGCAAGUGUUGUCCGGAUUUACUGGGCGUAAAGAGCGCGCAGGCGGUCGGAUUAGUCGCGUGUGAAAGCCCCGGCUCAACUGGGGAGGGUCACGCGAUACUGUUCGACUCGAAGGCAGGAGAGGGAAGUGGAAUUCCCGGUGUAGUGGUGAAAUGCGUAGAUAUCGGGAGGAACACCAGUGGCGAAGGCGACUUCCUGGCCUGUUCUUGACGCUGAGGCGCGAAAGCUAGGGUAGCAAACGG